rnacentral:lncRNA from 1 species
GGGGCGAGUUUGCAUUUUUCCAUCAUAGGAUGGGUGAGGGUAUAGCAUACGUACCCCUUACUUGUUCCAUUGCUAUCCCUAUAAGGUGCAGGUUUCGUUGGCUUGAAGAAAGUAUUUGAAGUUGUUUAAAUUUAAAAUUAGUGGAAGAAUAGUAAAAUUAGAGAGUAAUACUUAUAUUCUACCAAAAAAAAAUAGGGAGGG